rnacentral:rRNA from 1 species
GACGAAAGUCUGACGGAGCAACGCCGCGUGAACGAUGAAGGCUUUCGGGUCGUAAAGUUCUGUUGUCAGGGAAGAACAAGUACUGGAGUAACUGCCGGUACCUUGACGGUACCUGACCAGAAAGCCACGGCUAACUACGUGCCAGCAGCCGCGGUAAUACGUAGGUGGCAAGCGUUGUCCGGAAUUAUUGGGCGUAAAGCGCGCGCAGGCGGUUCCUUAAGUCUGAUGUGAAAGCCCCCGGCUCAACCGGGGAGGGUCAUUGGAAACUGGGGAACUUGAGUGCAGAAGAGGAGAGCGGAAUUCCACGUGUAGCGGUGAAAUGCGUAGAGAUGUGGAGGAACACCAGUGGCGAAGGCGGCUCUCUGGUCUGUAACUGACGCUGAGGCGCGAGAGCGUGGGGAGCGAACAGGAUUAGAUACCCUGGUAGUCCACGCCGUAAACGAUGAGUGCUAAGUGUUAGAGGGUUUCCGCCCUUUAGUGCUGCAGCAAACGCAUUAAGCACUCCGCCUGGGGAGUA